rnacentral:rRNA from 1 species
UACGUAGGGAGCAAGCGUUGUUCGGAUUUACUGGGCGUAAAGGCGCGUAGGCGGCGCGGUAAGUCACUUGUGAAAUCUCUGAGCUUAACUCAGAACGGCCAAGUGAUACUGCAGUGCUAGAGUGCAGAAGGGCAAUCGGAAUUCUUGGUGUAGCGGUGAAAUGCGUAGAUAUCAAGAGGAACACCUGAGGUGAAGACGGGUUGCUAGGCGUGACACUGACGCUGAGGCGCGAAAGCCAGGGGAGCGAAACGGG